rnacentral:lncRNA from 1 species
UACCAAAAUUAAUUGAGUAAUAUUUUGCUCUUACAUGACGUGCCGGGUCCAUAGUGAAGUACAUCACUAUAACCAAACACCUCCAGCUUCAACCACAGUCUCCAACCUAGCCAUGAACAUGGCACAGUCCCUCAUGAGGAACUCCUUACCCAUGUUGGACACUGCCUAGAGGAGAGGUCACCAGCCCUAUGUCCGCGUUCACCCGGUCGCCGCUAGACUUGUUCUAAAAAUUCCUCAGCUUUAAAAAGGUUGGUAACCCCUGGUCUAAAGAAUGGAAACCACAUUUCUUUUCUGCAAAAAACCUUUAGGAAAUCUGGAGUGCGUUUUUUGAACUCAGAAUGAUCAUGAGUCUUCCUUGCAAGACUCCUCGACACCCUUGGCAGCAUCCUAAACAGUUGAUUUGGGCAGCUUGGUAAACUCAAUAACCUAAUUGAGCGUGCGCCCAGAGCACACAAUAAUGGGCAUACAGCGUUAUUAUUCAGAGGACAUCUUUAGUAUUUUUAUUUUUUCAUUACCAUGUUUGUGAGCUAAAUCUGAUUAGUAAACUUAACUAAACAUCAAACUCAGGGUCUUAAAUUCUUCUGGAUUAAAAAUCUCCACCCUGUGUUGGUAUAUGGGACUCCCUAUUCUGCUGAUUAUAAUUAAUAGAUGAUAAGAACCCAUGUGGAUGACCCCAAGUGUUAUGGAACAGCUGGGAGAUCCCAUAAUCGAUAAGGCCUCACUUAUUUACUAGGAAGAAGAGACUGCAAUAAAGAUCCGUCAAAGUAAUCACAAAUUAAUUAACCACCUUGAAAUUCAUUUAUGAUUAGAAUAUAAUAAAUGCUACAAGCUAUCCCUCGACUCACAUUUAAUUUAGAGCAUUUUUUUUUUUCAAAUAAACAAACAGAAAUAAUCAAUAGCUUACUAUGUAUGUAUGUACUAUAAACAAAUAAAUAGUCUAAUUGU